rnacentral:rRNA from 1 species
GACGAACGCUGGCGGCGUGCUUAACACAUGCAAGUCGAGCGAUGAAGAUUCUUCGGAAGUGGAUUAGCGGCGGACGGGGGAGUAACACGUGGGUAACCUGCCUCAUAGAGGGGAAUAGCCUUUCGAAAGGAAGAUUAAUACCGCAUAAGAUUGUAGUACCGCAUGGUGCAGCAAGUAAAGGAGUAAUCCGCUAUGAGAUGGACCCGCGUCGCAUUAGCUAGUUGGUGUGGUAACGGCUCACCAAGGCGAGGAUGCGGAGCCGACCUGAGAGGGUGAUCGGCCACAUUGGUACGGAGACACGGCCCAGACUCCUACGGGAGGCAGCAGUGGGGAAUAUUGCACAAUGGGGGAAACCCUGAUGCAGCAACGCCGCGUGAGUGAUGACGGUCUUCGGAUGGUAAAGCUCUGUCUUCAGGGACGAUAAUGACGGUACCUGAGGAGGAAGCCACGGCUAACUACGUGCCAGCAGCCGCGGUAA